CGGAGCUAUGUAAAAGUAGAAGCGAGGUACUCAGGAAGGUCAGAGGUAGUGCAGGGAGGAAACAGCCUCCUGCACAAACCGAAGGCUUUUUGUUUCUCAUACCUCUUUCU
ensembl:miRNA gga-mir-6630 gga-mir-6630